rnacentral:other from 1 species
CGUCUCCCGUCAUGCUCGUGAUGCUGUGAUCAGCGUUUUGAGCCAAUACCUAUAUACAGGGAGCCGAUCUCUGGAGGCGCUGUCCGAGAGGGCAAACCCGACAGGUAGGCACCCACCUGCCUCGGCAGGUUCAAAACAAUGAUAGCACACGGCAAGAUGGGGGACGC